UAAACUCUUAUGAAUCCCCGUUUCCUUUUGUCCACGUGGCGACAUUAGCUUAAUCUAAUCUUCUGUGGGCCCUACCUGUCAUCUUAAGGCACUCUGUUAUUUAAUUAGUGGGUGGGGCCCACCCAACUAAAUUUUCCCAUUUAAUCUUCCCUGCUUCUAAUUAAUUUCGUCUUCCACCUCCGGCUCCUUCGCUCGCUCCUCUAGGUGCCGCUCCGACUCCUGUUCCCUCUUUGGACGGACUGUUGGGCUGAGUUCAUGGCCGAACUUCUUGCCGUCGCACCCGUUCCCUUUGGCGACGCUUCAUUUCGUUCACCCCCUAGAUGCCGCUCCGACUCCUAUUCCCUCUCUGGAUGGAAUGUUGGGCCGAGUUCAUGGUCGUCCCUUCUUCUUGUCGCGCCGUUCCUGUUAGCGGCGCUUCGUUUCGGCUUAUUCAUUCCCUCCGGUCACAAAAAUGGCUCGGAUUCAUCCUCCGUGGUCCCUUCUUGCUGCCUAUAUAAUAUGCCUCUGUAAAAAUUUUAUUUGCAAAAAAAAAAAAACCCUAUUUCUCUCUUUCUGAUUUUUUCCAUCUCUGAUUUGGUAGCGAGCCCUCCGCGGCCUUCGAUUUCACCUCCACGGCCUUUGAUUUCACCUCCGGGAAGCGAAUCAAGCAGAAGCUUCUCGAUUACAAUCAAGAGGCCGAGCGGUUCCGAGGUAAGAAAAGGAAAAAGGCUCCCUCUUUUGAUGUUCCUCUUUUGCUAUUCAGUGGCUCUGGUAUUCUGUGUAUGCAAGGUAUCAUUUCUCUUUUCUGCCUAUUAAAUAACGCCUUCAUUUUUUUUGUUGAUUUUGUGUAGCCUUGCAUCAUUUACCUUGGUUUCAACUACCUAAUAUGUGCAUAUGUCAAUUCCCUCCAUGUAUUUAUCCCUGUUUAAUAAUUUACAAUUUUAGUUUGGAUCUCUAUUGGCCACAGCACUCAGUGGCUCUGGUAUUCUGUGUAUGCAAGCUAAACACUUUGAAACCCUAAGGUCUUGGCCGCGAUCAUGAUGGUUGCCGCUACCGCUGCCACUCUAACACCCUAGUACUUAGGCAUCGUGUGAUCAUCAGUCCUUGUUUCCAGGAGUGGCUACGCCAUGUUGAGGGUUCUUAAGUCCUAGGAUAAACAAUCGUUGAUGGCUACCAGAGCAGGUGAAGGUAUAUAAGCCAUCAAAUAGCAUUCAAUCCUGUUUUUAAUUUAAAAUGUGGAUAGAAUGAUAACUGAUGGUUUAUAUCUCCCUCUGUUGUACUACAGAACGGAUCCUACUAAAUUUUGUUUCAUAGGGUGGGUGGUGGUGGGUGAUCAAAAUAGUUGACAGUGAACAAUGGCUUGAUGCAAUUUCUUCUCAUGUGAGUGUCUGACAAGUUUGAAAUUGCAAUGAAAGUCACUUUCCAUUAACCUAACAACUUAAGUAGAAAAAAAUUUGAUCUAGAGAACCAGCAUGCAUGCAUGCACAGAGGUGACGAGCAUUUAAAUGGUCGGCAAGCAUAGCAUAGCUAGCAACUACGUCCUAGAUAGGCACAUUUGCCUUCCAGUCACUUCGAUUAGCCCGACAAGUACUAAUCCCAUUUGAUUUAUUUUGGUCAUGAAUAACUCUACAAACAUGUUACUUUGCUCAACAUUCUUGCAAUGAACCCAACUUCUAUUGGUUUUGCAACUUUCAGCAAGUUUUUGUGUCUUUGGAUUGUAUUUAUCCCUA